rnacentral:miRNA from 1 species
CUGUCUGUGCCUGCUGUACAGG